AAAAUGCAAGGAAUUGAUACAAAUGAUGACCAUAUGCUGCUAGAAAAUGCAGAAUGAUUAUUCUAGCUUGAAGUGCAAGCAAUAAGAAAAACACCGUGAGAGAUGCUCAAG